rnacentral:rRNA from 1 species
UGGGGAAUAUUGGACAAUGGGCGCAAGCCUGAUCCAGCAAUGCCGCGUGAGUGAUGAAGGCCUUAGGGUUGUAAAGCUCUUUCGCACGCGACGAUGAUGACGGUAGCGUGAGAAGAAGCCCCGGCUAACUUCGUGCCAGCAGCCGCGGUAAUACGAAGGGGGCUAGCGUUGUUCGGAAUUACUGGGCGUAAAGGGCGCGUAGGCGGCCUGUUUAGUCAGAAGUGAAAGCCCCGGGCUCAACCUGGGAAUAGCUUUUGAUACUGGCAGGCUUGAGUUCCGGAGAGGAUGGUGGAAUUCCCAGUGUAGAGGUGAAAUUCGUAGAUAUUGGGAAGAACACCGGUGGCGAAGGCGGCCACCUGGACGGACACUGACGCUGAGGCGCGAAAGCGUGGGGAGCAAAACAGGAUUAGAUACCCUGGUAGUCCACGCCGUAAACGAUGAAUGCUAGACGUCGGGGUGCAUGCACUUCGGUGUCGCCGCUAACGCAUUAAGCAUUCCGCCUGGGGAGUACGGCCGCAAGGUU